UACGAAGGGGGCUAGCGUUGCUCGGAAUCACUGGGCGUAAAGCGCACGUAGGCGGAUUGUUAAGUCAGGGGUGAAAUCCUGGAGCUCAACUCCAGAACUGCCUUUGAUACUGGCGAUCUCGAGGCCGGGAGAGGUGAGUGGAACUGCGAGUGUAGAGGUGAAAUUCGUAGAUAUUCGCAAGAACACCAGUGGCGAAGGCGCCACUCUGGGCCGAAACUGGACGCUGAGGAGCGAAAGCAUGGGUAGCAAACAGG
rnacentral:rRNA from 1 species